rnacentral:rRNA from 1 species
UACGAAGGGGGCUAGCGUUGUUCGGAAUUACUGGGCGUAAAGGGCGCGUAGGCUGUGCUGUAAGUCAGGCGUGAAAGCCCCGGGCUCAACCUGGGAAUUGCGCUUGAUACUGCGGCGCUGGAAGGUGGGAGAGGAUGGCGGAAUUCCCAGUGUAGAGGUGAAAUUCGUAGAUAUUGGGAAGAACACCGGUGGCGAAGGCGGCCAUCUGGCCCACAAUUGACGCUGAGGCGCGAAAGCGUGGGGAGCAAACAGG